CAGAGCCGCGGGAAUACGUAGGGUGCAAGCGUUAAUCGGAAUUACUGGGUGUAAAGCGUGCGCAGGCGGUUAUAUAAGACAGAUGUGAAAUCCCCGGGCUCAACCUGGGAACUGCAUUUGUGACUGUAUAGCUAGAGUACGGCAGAGGGGGAUGGAAUUCCGCGUGUAGCAGUGAAAUGCGUAGAUAUGCGGAGGAACACCGAUGGCGAAGGCAAUCCCCUGGGCCUGUACUGACGCUCAUGCACGAAAGCGUGGGGAGCAAACAGGAUUAGAUACCCGCGUAGUCCCUGUCUCUUAUACC
rnacentral:rRNA from 1 species